AGCGGCAGACGGGAGAGUAACACGUGGGAACGUGCCCUUCAGUUCGGAACAACCCAGGGAAACUUGGGCUAAUACCGGAUACGUCCGUAAGGAGAAAGAUUUAUCGCUGAAGGAUCGGCCCGCGUCUGAUUAGCUUGUUGGUGAGGUAAUGGCUCACCAAGGCGACGAUCAGUAGCUGGUCUGAGAGGAUGAUCAGCCUCACUGGGACUGAGACACGGCCCAGACUCCUACGGGAGGCAGCAGUAGGGAAUAUUGGACAAUGGGCGCAAGCCUGAUCCAGCCAUGCCGCGUGGGUGAUGAAGGCCCUAGGGUUGUAAAGCCCUUUCGGCGGGGAAGAUAAUGACGGUACCCGCAGAAGAAGCCCCGGCUAACUUCGUGCCAGCAGCCGCGGUAAUACGAAGGGGGCUAGCGUUGCUCGGAAUCACUGGGCGUAAAGCGCACGUAGGCGGCUUUUUAAGUCAGGGGUGAAAUCCUGGAGCUCAACUCCAGAACUGCCUUUGAUACUGAGAAGCUUGAGUCCGGGAGAGGUGAGUGGAACUGCGAGUGUAGAGGUGAAAUUCGUAGAUAUUCGCAAGAACACCAGUGGCGAAGGCGGCUCACUGGCCCGGUACUGACGCUGANGUGCGAAAGCGUGGGGAGCAAACAGGAUUAGAUACCCUGGUAGUCCACGCCGUAAACGAUGGAUGCUAGCCGUUGUCGGGUUUACUCGUCAGUGGCGCAGCUAACGCAUUAAGCAUCCCGCCUGGGGAGUACGGUCGCAAGAUUAAAACUCAAANGGAANUUGACGGGGGCCCGCACAAGCGGUGGANCAUGUGGUUCAAUUCGAAGCAACGCGCA
rnacentral:rRNA from 1 species